GGACCUGACUGCUAUCGGAUUGAUACUAAGCCAUGCGAGUCAUUGUAGCAAUACAAGGCAUACGGCUCAGUAACGCGUAGUCAACCUAACCUAUGGACGGGAAUAACCUCGGGAAACUGAGAAUAAUGCCCGAUAGAACAUUAUGCCUGGAAUGGUUUAUGUUCCAAAUGAUUUAUCGCCGUAGGAUGGGACUGCGGCCUAUCAGUUUGUAGGUGAGGUAAUGGCCCACCAAGACUAUUACAGGUACGGGCUCUGAGAGGAGUAGCCCGGAGAUGGGUACUGAGACACGGACCCAGGCCCUAUGGGGCGCAGCAGGCGAGAAAACUUUGCAAUGUGCGAAAGCACGACAAGGUUAAUCCGAGUGGUUUCUGCUAAAGAAACCUUUUGUCAGUCCUAGAAACACUGAUGAAUAAGGGGUGGGCAAGUUCUGGUGU
rnacentral:rRNA from 1 species